rnacentral:rRNA from 1 species
AAUCAAGCGCGAGAAGGGCGUUUGGUGAAUGCCUUGGCAGUAAGAGGCGAUGAAAGACGUGAUACUCUGCGAUAAGCCAUGGGGAGCUGAGAAUAAGCUUUGAUCCAUGGAUUUCUGAAUGGGGGAACCCACCUGACAGUUUUCUAUUGUUACUUCGGUAAUCAAUAGACGGCUGAAACAGGUAUUUAUAACCUGAAUACAUAGGGUUAUAAAAGCAAACCCGGGGAACUGAAACAUCUAAGUACCCGGAGGAAAGGAAAUCAAUUGAUACUCCCCUAGUAGCGGCGAGCGAACGGGGACCAGCCGAGCCUUGAGUGUGAAUAGAAUGGUCUGGAAAGACCAACCAUAGUGGGUGACAGUCCCGUAUAUGAAGCAUGAUAGGACGUAUUAAGUAGGGCGGAACACGUGAAAUUCUGUCUGAAGAUCGGAGGACCACCUUCGAAGGCUAAGUACUCCUUACUGACCGAUAGUGAACCAGUACCGUGAGGGAAAGGUGAAAAGCACCCCGACGAGGGGAGUGAAACAGUUCCUGAAACCGAAUGCCUACAAUCAGUCGGAGCUUGACUGGACUCUAAUGACAAUCUUUGUCAGAUGUUUCCCAAAUGAAUGAGGGAAGCAGAUGGCAGAUGGAACUUUCGCAGCAGCGUUGAUCGUGCUCGGUCUUUGGGACAUGAGCACCAAUCACUGUGGCACGGAAACGGGAUGCCUGGGGCGCGCAGAUGUUGCGCCGCGGUUUGCCAUUUCGGCCGGCGAAGUUCUAACGCGAGCGGCACCGACCACGCAGGAAAUCUACCUGCGAUACGAUCUGGGCCACCGCAAUGGACCAUUUGGACAUGCCGUUGGCUUUUCAGUCGGCGGAAACGGGGAGCUCUGGGUCGGCUACGGUCAGACCUACCACAAGAAAAUCGGCAACUCGCCGAUCUUCGCCGAGCUUCACGCCAUGGCCGGUCUAUACGCAGACAAUGGAGGUUGGGACCUGGGUCAUCCGAUCGAAUUCAGAUCGGGGAUCGAGUUCGGAUACGAAAAUCGGAACGGAUGGCGGUUUGGCCUGAGUUACGAUCAUCGCUCCAACACAGGGGUUUUUGCCAACUACAAUCCCGGCAUCGAAACGGUGCAAUUCCGGGUCUCCAUCCCAACGAAAUGAUUGUUAUUAGUGUCCAGUCUUGUGACGGCGUACCUUUUGUAUAAUGGGUCAUCGACUUGGUCUUACAAGCAAGCUUAAGCCGUUAGGUGUAGGCGUAGCGAAAGCGAGUCUUAAUAGGGCGAAUGAGUUUGUAGGAUCAGACCCGAAACCGAGUGAUCUAGGCAUGGCCAGGUUGAAGGUGCAGUAACAUGCACUGGAGGACCGAACCCACAUCUGUUGAAAAAGAUCGGGAUGAGCUGUGCCUAGGGGUGAAAGGCCAAUCAAACUCGGAGAUAGCUGGUUCUCUGCGAAAUCUAUUUAGGUAGAGCGUCAUCCGAAUACCCCGGGGGGUAGAGCACUGGAUGGGUAAUGGGGCCCCACAGGCUUACUGAUCCUAACCAAACUCCGAAUACCCGGGAGUACUAGAUGGCAGACACACUGCGGAUGCUAACGUCCGUAGUGGAGAGGGAAACAACCCUGACCUCCAGCUAAGGCCCCUAAUUCAUGGCUAAGUGGGAAAGCAGGUGGGACGACCAAAACAACCAGGAGGUUGGCUUAGAAGCAGCCAUCCUUUAAAGAUAGCGUAACAGCUCACUGGUCUAAAUAAGUUGUCCUGCGGCGAAGAUGUAACGGGGCUCAAGCCAUGAGCCGAAGCUGAGGAUGCCGUAAGGCAUGGUAGCAGAGCGUAGUGUGACAUAACUCCUAUCCUCUUUAGCACCCUUCGGGGUGUCAUGGAGGACUUGGAGUUUUCUGUGAAGCCGGCGUGUGAACGAUCCGGUGGAGAGAUCACUAGUGAGAAUGAUGACAUGAGUAGCGACAAAGAGGGUGAGAGACCCUCUCGCCGAAAAUCCAAGGGUUCCUGCUUAAAGCUAAUCUGAGCAGGGUAAGCCGGCCCCUAAGCCGAGGCCGAAAGGCGUAGGCGAUGGGAACCAGGUUAAUAUUCCUGGGCCAUGUGGUGGUGACGGAUCGCAGGUGUAGUUCUUCCUUAUCGGAUUGGAAGGGCUGCUGAGCGGUUCCUGGAAAUAGCCCCACUAUCAGACCGUACCCUAAACCGACACAGGUGGAUAGGUAGAGUAUACCAAGGCGCUUGAGAGAACUAUGUUGAAGGAACUCGGCAAAAUACCUCCGUAAGUUCGCGAGAAGGAGGCCCGGUUCCUAGGCAACUAGGGGCUGGGGGCACAAACCAGGGGGUGGCGACUGUUUACUAAAAACACAGGGCUCUGCGAAGUCGCAAGACGACGUAUAGGGUCUGACGCCUGCCCGGUGCCUGAAGGUUAAAAGGAGGGGUGAGAGCUCUGAAUUGAAGCCCAGGUAAACGGCGGCCGUAACUAUAACGGUCCUAAGGUAGCGAAAUUCCUUGUCGGGUAAGUUCCGACCUGCACGAAUGGCGUAACGACUUCCCCGCUGUCUCCAACAUAGACUCAGCGAAAUUGAAUUGCCUGUCAAGAUGCAGGCUUCCCGCGGUUAGACGGAAAGACCCCGUGCACCUUUACUACAGCUUCACAUUGGCAUUAGGCCGAGCAUGUGCAGGAUAGGUGGUGGGCUUUGAAGCAGUAACGCUAGUUAUUGUGGAGCCACCCUUGAGAUACCACCCUUGCUCUGCUUGAUGUCUAACCGCGGUCCGUUAUCCGGAUCCGGGACCCUGUGUGGCGGGUAGUUUGACUGGGGCGGUCGCCUCCUAAAGCGUAACGGAGGCGCGCGAAGGUUGGCUCAGAGCGGUCGGAAAUCGCUCGUUGAGUGCAAUGGCAGAAGCCAGCCUGACUGCGAGACUGACAAGUCGAGCAGAGUCGAAAGACGGCCAUAGUGAUCCGGUGGUCCCGAGUGGAAGGGCCAUCGCUCAACGGAUAAAAGGUACGCCGGGGAUAACAGGCUGAUACUGCCCAAGAGUCCAUAUCGACGGCAGUGUUUGGCACCUCGAUGUCGGCUCAUCUCAUCCUGGGGCUGGAGCAGGUCCCAAGGGUACGGCUGUUCGCCGUUUAAAGAGGUACGUGAGCUGGGUUUAGAACGUCGUGAGACAGUUCGGUCCCUAUCUGCCGUGGGUGUAGGAUACUUGAGAGGAGUUGCCCCUAGUACGAGAGGACCGGGGUGAACGAUCCACUGGUGUACCAGUUGUUCCGCCAGGAGCAGUGCUGGGUAGCUAUGAUCGGACAGGAUAACCGCUGAAGGCAUCUAAGCGGGAAGCCCCCCUCAAAACAAGGUAUCCCUGAGGACCGAGGUAGACCACCUCGUCAAUAGGCCAGAGAUGUAAGCGCAGCAAUGCGUUCAGUUGACUGGUACUAAUCGUCCGAUAGGCUUGAUUUG